rnacentral:sRNA from 1 species
UCUGAAGAUUGGGGCCUGGAAACAGAUU